GACGAACGCUGGCGGCGCGCCUAACACAUGCAAGUCGAACGAGCGAGAGAGAGCUUGCUUUCUCGAGCGAGUGGCGAACGGGUGAGUAACGCGUGAGGAACCUGCCUCAAAGAGGGGGACAACAGUUGGAAACAGCUGCUAAUACCGCAUAAUGCAACGAAAUCGCAUGACUUUGUUGCCAAAGAUUUAUCGCUCUGAGAUGGCCUCGCGUCUGAUUAGCUAGUUGGCGGGGUAACGGCCCACCAAGGCGACGAUCAGUAGCCGGACUGAGAGGUUGGCCGGCCACAUUGGGACUGAGACACGGCCCAG
rnacentral:rRNA from 1 species